rnacentral:rRNA from 1 species
AACGAACGCUGGCGGUGCGUCUUAAGCAUGCAAGUCGAACGGUAAGAAGAGAGCUUGCUCUUUUCCUAGAGUGGCGGACUGGUGAGUAACGCGUGGAUGAUCUACCUUUAAGAUGGGGAUAGCUUCUAGAAAUAGGAGAUAAUACCGAAUAACCUUAUCGUGUUAUGACGUGAUAAGAAAAUGGAGCGUUAGCUCCGCUUGAAGAUGAGUCUGCGUCCCAUUAGCUAGUUGGUAAGGUAAAGGCUUACCAAGGCGAUGAUGGGUAUCCGGCCUGAGAGGGUGAACGGACACAUUGGGACUGAGAUACGGCCCAAACUCCUACGGGAGGCAGCAGCUGAGAAUCUUCCGCAAUGGACGAAAGUCUGACGGAGCGACACCGCGUGAACGAUGAAGGCCGGAAGGUUGUAAAUUCUUUUGCAGACAAAGAAUAAGGAUAGAAGGAAAUGACUAUCUGAUGACGGUAGUUAUGCGAAUAAGCCCCGGCUAAUU